CUUGACUUGAGCAGUCCUUCCUAUGAACAGCUUCCGCUGCAUCUUAGUCUUUACUCUCAAGCUCAAAGUCUCAACAGCUUCGACUGGCUUCUGCAUUCGUCUCUUCGCUCGGUCUCAGGCUUCUUCCGUUCUCGAGUUCCCAAAGAAGAAAUUAGUCAAGAUUCAGCCUCUAGCCUUGGGUAAAAGUCACGUUCAUCUUACAGGGCAAAGGGCGUUUACUUGUACUUAUUCAUCUCCUUCGGCCCUGGAACGGAAGGACAAGAUCAGACGCAGUGCUCCUAUAUAACCCCCUGAAAUCUCCUUAUCUUUGUCGAAUUCCCAACACAAGCCCGAUUUGUUUCUGAGGACUCCUAUAAGGACAAGAGGUGAGGAUACCCGCAAAAACUUUGUUGACCAUUUGCACGAUGCUUUAAGGCGUAAAGGAAUUGUGGCCUUUAAAGAUGAUGACGACCGAGAUCUUCCAAGGGGAAAAUGUAUUAAAC